GACGAACGCUGGCGGCGUGCUUAACACAUGCAAGUCGAACGGAAAGGCCCUGCUUUUGUGGGGUGCUCGAGUGGCGAACGGGUGAGUAACACGUGAGUAACCUGCCCUUGACUUUGGGAUAACUUCAGGAAACUGGGGCUAAUACCGGAUAGGAGCUCCUGCUGCAUGGUGGGGGUUGGAAAGUUUCGGCGGUUGGGGAUGGACUCGCGGCUUAUCAGCUUGUUGGUGGGGUAGUGGCUUACCAAGGCUUUGACGGGUAGCCGGCCUGAGAGGGUGACCGGGGACAUGGGGACUGAGAGACGGCGCAGACGCCAACGGGAGGCAGCAGGGGGGAAUAUGGCACAGUGGGCGGAAGCGUGAGACAGCAACGCCGGGUGCGGGAUGACGGCCUGCGGGUUGUAAACCGCUUUCGCCUGUGACGAAGCGUGAGUGACGGUAAUGGGUAAAGAAGCACCGGCUAACUACGUG
rnacentral:rRNA from 1 species